UACGUAGGGUGCAAGCGUUGUCCGGAAUUAUUGGGCGUAAAGAGCUCGUAGGCGGUUCGUCGCGUCGGCUGUGAAAACCCGAGGCUCAACCUCGGGCCUGCAGUCGAUACGGGCGGACUGGAGUUCGGCAGGGGAGACUGGAAUUCCUGGUGUAGCGGUGAAAUGCGCAGAUAUCAGGAGGAACACCGAUGGCGAAGGCAGGUCUCUGGGCAUUAACUGACGCUGAGGAGCGAAAGCAUGGGGAGCGAACAGG
rnacentral:rRNA from 1 species